rnacentral:rRNA from 1 species
ACAAGCGGUGGAGUAUGUGGUUCAAUUCGAUGCAACGCGAAGAACCUUACCUGGUCUUGACAUCCCGGAGACCCUUAGGAAACUAGGGGUGCUUCCAUCUGGAAGAAUCUGGAGACAGGUGCUGCAUGGCUGUCGUCAGCUCGUGUCGUGAGAUGUUGGGUUAAGUCCCGCAACGAGCGCAACCCUUGCCUUUAGUUGCCAGCAGUUCGGCUGGGCACUCUAAAGGGACUGCCGGUGUUAAACCGGAGGAAGGUGGGGAUGACGUCAAGUCCUCAUGGCCUUUAUGACCAGGGCUACACACGUACUACAAUGGCCGAUACAAAGGGCAGCGACACUGCGAGGUGAAGCCAAUCCCGUAAAAUCGGUCUCAGUCCGGAUUGGAGUCUGCAACUCGACUCCAUGAAGUUGGAAUCGCUAGUAAUCGUGGAUCAGCAUGCCACGGUGAAUACGUUCCCGGGCCUU